rnacentral:rRNA from 1 species
UACGUAGGGUGCGAGCGUUAAUCGGAAUUACUGGGCGUAAAGAGUGCGCAGGCGGUUUUGUAAGUCAGAUGUGAAAUCCCCGGGCUUAACCUGGGAAUGGCAUUUGGGACUGCAAGGCUGGAGUGCGGCAGAGGAGACUGGAAUUCCUGGUGUAGCAGUGAAAUGCGUAGAUAUCAGGAGGAAUACCGAUGGCGAAGGCAGGUCUCUGGGCUGACACUGACGCUCAUGCACGAAAGCGUGGGGAGCAAACAGG